CCUCCCUGGCAAUGGGCAAGAGACGCCUUAUUGUUGGUGGUGUUCUUAUAUAAUCCAGGGGCAGAGCAAAUGGCACUCCUUUGUACAUCCUAGCUUAAUGUCUGGCUUGUUGGCCAAAGCUAUCUUCUGCCUAGGACUCACAG